rnacentral:rRNA from 1 species
UACGUAGGGGGCAAGCGUUGUCCGGAUUUAUUGGGCGUAAAGAGCGUGUAGGCGGCCAUACAGGUCAGCUGUGAAAACUCGAGGCUCAACCUCGAGACGUCGGUUGAAACCGUAUGGCUAGAGUCCGGAAGAGGAGAGUGGAAUUCCUGGUGUAGCGGUGAAAUGCGCAGAUAUCAGGAAGAACACCCGUGGCGAAGGCGGCUCUCUGGGACGGUACUGACGCUGAGACGCGAAAGCGUGGGGAGCGAACAGG